UAAAGCAUAUUUUAACAAAUGCUUAGCUUGAGAUAAAUAAAGAAUGAGUCUAAUAUGUCAGAGUAUAAAGCUGACAGAUACGUGUUCAGAGUACAUUUAACUAAAGUUUAUCUCUGUGUUCUUCAGUUCUGCACAUUAGGCCCCCAGGAUGACAUUUUCUGGAUGCCUGAUUACAUUAUCUGUGCCCAGCACAGAAGUACUGACCUGAAAGUUUUGUUUAAGUGACCAUCAAACAACCCUUUUCUAUAAUGGGUCACAAGCAUAGACAGGAUUCAGUACUCCAAAGCAACAUAAAUUCUUGCCUUAAUUAUGAACUCCUCACUUCUUAAACAAUUUUCUGCCUCGUUUAGGACAUAUCCUUAGAGAAAUAAUGUAGAAAUCUAACUGCUUAGUUCACAGAUAAACUUAAAUCAUUAUGUGCAUUUAUAUUUUGAACUGAACAUGGCAAUGGUGAGAAAAACGUAAAGGGGAAACCUCAGCAUACAAUUGUGUUUACAGUAUCAGUGUGCUUACAUAUGCAGGACUAAGUUAAGGAUUUCAAGAUGACAGGAAAAUAACCUUUCUUUUAUGUCAGUAUUGGAUUUUUAGCAUGAUCAUUAGGAAAUAAUAUCUGUGCACUUUGAAUGCAUUUAUUACAUGUUCAACUUUCAACUUUCAAGGUCAAUUGUUUGUACUAAUCACAAAUUCUUCCUCACCUUUUUGCAAUAACGGAGCUUCAGUACUUCAUUUCUCUGUCUGACUACUGCUCCUUUUCAGAUCACACUAGUAAACUACAGAUUGAUUGUCUAUACUAUUAAGCUUUAUAUUAUUAUUAUUACUAUUAUUAUUGUACCUUCACAGUGCCAAUACUUGUUUGGAUACCUUUACCUUCAUAUACAAUAAAAAAUUUUAAUGGUAUCUCAAUAUGCUAACCUGUUUCUUGUUCACAAUUUCAUAAAAUAAUAUUUCUGUGCUACUUUUUAUUCUGUGUUCAGUUCUGCUAACUUGUGCAAAAAUCCUUUCCCUCCAUGACCAUUAAGGGUCCCUUCCAACUCAAAUGAUUCUGUGAUUCUGCAGACUGGGAUUGUUCAGUUGGGAGAAAAGGAGGCUCAGGGGAGAGACUCUGUUGCUCUUUACAACUACUUGAAAGCAGGUCGUAGCGAGGCGGGGGCCGAUCUCUUCUCCCAGGGUCCGGAGUCCCCAUGCUGCUCACUCUCAGGAGAGCAGCUCUGUGAGGAGGUAGCAGCUCCCCUGUGUGCUUCUGUUUCCGAGAGAGGAGAUGGAGAUGUCCAAGGAACAGGAGAAGAUCUGUUCUCAGCUCGACAAAGGGCUGCCGAGCAUACGGGAACGCUGCCAGGUGGGCCGCAGGCCACAGCAAGCAGUGCUGCCAGGCAGCUGGAACCAGGAAUCAUCCCUCCAUGAGGUUCAUCUGCCGUCACUACCCCACCUGGAGAGCGCUCAUGCCCCUGGGACUCACAGUGCACAGGCGGGCAGGAAGAAGCUCAGACAGGCACCACCCCACAGCAGUGACUCCAGGGAGGGCAGAUAGCAACCUUCGCCAAGGCAGGCAGUGCCACUGGCAGGUGCACCCUGGCAUGCAGCUUCUGCACGUACAGGAGUUCACAAAUUGCCCGCUCUGCAAGCACCAACCUCCAUGCAUUCCCUGAGAAGCAGUCACCAUGCCAUGGGAUCUACAGCUUGCAGACUGCCUGCACUUGUUCCAUGUCCUCCAGGCAAUGCUCAGCAGCAGGAUAUGGCAGUGAGGGCCGAGAGCUGGGAGGCAGAUAUACUAGUCCCUGUGCCCCCACUUCAACCAGCACACAAAACAACCAAGUCGCUGGCGUUGGCACAUCUUAGGCAACCAGUAGCUGCAAUGCCAAGAAUUUGCCAGAAGCCAGUAGCUGCAAGACCAAAACCCUGCCAGAAACCGGCAGGUCUACAGCAAGGCCCACCCACCUGCACCCUAGUGUAGUGGGCCGGCUGCCAGGAUGUGUCAGCAAAUGCUGAGAGGGGGUGGCUUUUGUGUAGGGGGUGCUACGUGGGGAGCAGUAUGAAGCCCGUGCAGCUCCAGGAAGCGUGGCAGCUGUGACCAGGGGCUCAAUGCUACCCUUGGGGCUCUCUGCAGGGCCUUCUGGAAGCCUGUCCAGCAGGUACAUGUGCGGUGUGAAAAGACAGGGUCCUGCUAAAUUAGCUUUUCUCCUCCAUUUCUCUUGCAGGCGGACAAGCUGGAGCUCAGGGAGGCACUGGCCUGCAACAGUGUCCCCAAGGAAGGGAGACAGCCUCAGUCAACUUCUGGAGCAUCUCUCUUUGUUCCUGCACCCCCAAUCCUGCCUGCACAUGCCACACAAAAGUCACUUGAGUUGGCAUAUUGUGGACGUCCAGUAGCCAGAAGACCAAAACCCAGCCAGAAACCAGCAGGUCCACAGCAAGGCGCGCCCACCUGCACUCUGGGAACAAGAAGAACUGCCUGGGCGCUGACCUCCAAGGCUGGGAGUGGCCCCACAGAUAAGAGACCAGGUCCCAGUGCUCAGGAGGGCAGAAGAGACGAUGAUGGGGCUUCUACCUCAUGUUCCCUCACAGCACAACAGGCAGCAGAUGAUGGUGCCAGAGGCAGGCCCUUCUCAGAAUAUGCCGGGUGUCAGAUACAUGUGCUAUAGGCCACUCUCCCUUAUUAGAGUGCACGCGUACCUGUCCUGCAGUCUUUGCAAAUGCAACUAUGUUGUUCAAAAGGAUGUCAAGAAGAGUUGGAAGGAAGCCCUGAGAGAGAUGCUGCAGCAGGGGAAGCUGAAGUCCCAAUGAGAACACUGCACAUACCAGGUGUGGGGGGCACCACGCACCUAGUCCCACCUCACUGCAAAGUGGCUUAGGAGACCACAAGCCUGUGCUUUUUUCCUACGGGACAAUUGAGAAGACAGCCCUGAGUAAAACAGAGCAGCUGAGGCAGCCAACAUCCCAGCAAGCAUGUCUGGAGCCUAAUCUGGUGAGGCAGAGGCCAAGCCUUUGGCUUCUGGUGUGGCUGCAAACCCAACAGCACCAGGUCGUUCUAGGUGCCAAUGAUGCUGAUGGCCCACCUCUGCCAGGAUGGCACUCUGGUCUCUGAGCAGGGGUUUCACCUGCAGCUGCAUCAAGGGACAGGAGGAGGAAGAGUCACGAGGCUGCUGGCACCAGGCAGCUCUCUGCAGAUGGCUGCUGCCAACUCAAGGAUUUUGGAAUUUUGAAUAAAUCUUUUCUUAACUCCGUCCCGGCUGUGCGCCUGUGUGUGCUCGUUCUCUGUGUGCACUUAAUGGCGUACAGUCCCUGUACUGUGGUGCCAGUGACUGGAGUGUGAUCUCUGGCUAGUGAAGGGCAAACCAGAUCAGCCGGUAAUGCAACUUUUGAAAAUUUUGCACUCUUGAUUAUAAAAAUAGGCAAAGUAGGACAUGUGGGAUGUCCUAAUGUGUCCUCUAGUUUAUUGCAAUCCCUUACAUGUAAAAAGAGAGUAAAUUCAUUACAAAGAGACACAGUGUAACAGCUAAUUACAAUAGUGCAAAAAAUGCAGGAAGUUUUAGAAUAUCUGUCACCUCAAGAGGUUCUUGUUUUGUUUUUUGUUGUUGCUUUGUUUAUGGAUUUAUUCCCUUUCUUUUCCUAUGAUACAAUAAAGCUUUAUUUCUUGCCUUUAGAAUGGAUACUACUAAAUGUUCAUAAACAGAUUCUUUCGAAUUCAUGCCAAAAUGUAUCCAAGGUCUUUGAAGUCCAAAGAAUAUUUUAAGCAAUUUACAGCUAGCAUGAAAUGCUCCUCUUAGUAAUUUGAUAUAUAAACUAUAUAUUACUAGAACCAACAUUAACACGUUAUCAGAAAAGUCUCUCAAAAUACUUACAGUUUCAUUACGUUUCAUCACCAUGAAAAUUCACACAAGGAUUAGAAGUGAGAUUACAAAUGGGAAUUAUUUUUAUGAAAAUUAGUUAGGUCUUGCUCCAAACUCAUAUGCUUCUGAUUCAUUUAGAGUCAGUCUGUAUCAGGUCAACUCAGUUUUCAUUUCAUUAGGGAUGAACAUACGUCAAACAUUGUUGCCUGGGUUGAGACUUUCAAAGAUCUACAAAAUCUAAACUACACUGACCUGAAGUAACAUUGAUGCUUGUCACCUCAAAUGAACAUCAGCAAAGGCAUUGGUACAACAGAGCCUAUAAGGAAUGCAAAUACUCUCUUGUUAUGACUAGGGAGACCCAGAGGCAUCUUGUUCUGGUUUGGAUACAGACUUCCUUUAGAUUGAUAAUGUUUUGUGUGUUGGCUUCUAAAUUUCCUCUUGGAUUUUGAGUGGUUGAGCCUUGAUUAUAUUCUGACUUUUUGCUAUUCCAUUCUUCAUUUUCACUGUAUCUCUUAGUGAUCCUAGGGCCAAAGUAAUUACGUGUGAAA